rnacentral:rRNA from 1 species
GAUGAACGCUGGCGGCGUGCCUAAUACAUGCAAGUCGAGCGAACGGACGAGAAGCUUGCUUCUCUGAUGUUAGCGGCGGACGGGUGAGUAACACGUGGAUAACCUACCUAUAAGACUGGGAUAACUUCGGGAAACCGGAGCUAAUACCGGAUAAUAUUUUGAACCGCAUGGUUCAAAAGUGAAAGACGGUCUUGCUGUCACUUAUAGAUGGAUCCGCGCUGCAUUAGCUAGUUGGUAAGGUAACGGCUUACCAAGGCAACGAUGCAUAGCCGACCUGAGAGGGGGAGCGGCCACACUGGAACGGAGACACGGUCCAGACUCCUACGGGAGGCAGCAGUAGGGAAUCUUCCGCAAUGGGCGAAAGCCUGACGGAGCAACGCCGCGUGAGUGAUGAAGGUCUUCGGAUCGUAAAACUCUGUUAUUAGGGAAGAACAUAUGUGUAAGUAACUGUGCACAUCUUGACGGUACCUAAUCAGAAAGCCACGGCUAACUACGUG